rnacentral:rRNA from 1 species
UAGUACCUGUGAAGAUGCAGGUUAGCCGCGACAGAAUGGAAAGGCCCCGUAGAGCUUUACUGUAGCCUGAUAUUGAAUUUCGGCUCAGCUUGUACAGGACAGCUAGGAGCCGUUGAAACGUGAGCGCUAGCUUACGUGUAGGCGCUGGUGGGAUACUUCCCUAGCUGUGUUGGCUUUCUAACCCGCACUACUUAUCGUGGUGGGAGACAGUGUCAGGCGGGCAGUUUGACUGGGGCGGUCGCCUUCUAAAAGGUAACGGCGGCGCUCAAAGGUUCCCCCAGCAUGGUUGUAAAUCUUUUACAGGGUGUAAAGGCUUCAACGAGCUUGACUGCUAUACCUACAAGUCGAGCACGGACGAAAGACGGACUUAGCGAUCCGGAGGUUCCGCAUGGCAGUGCCAUC